UAGGGGGUGUAAUGUACCCUCUAGCCAUCCACGCGUACGGGUGUUGGGAGACAUUGCCCGGAGAUGGAUUCUGAGACACGAAUCCAGACCCUACGGGGUGCAGCAGGCGCGAAAACUUGGCAAUGCGAGAAAUCGUGACCAGGGAACUCCAAGUGGCAGGGGUAAGACCCUGUCUUUUUCCGACUCUAAAUAGGUCGGCGAAUAAGGGGUGGGUAAGGACGGUGCCAGCCGCCGCGGUAAUACCGGCGCCUCAAGUGGUAGUCGCUUUUAUUGGGCCUAAAACGUCCGUAGCCGGUCUGGUACAUUCGUGGGUAAAUCAACUCGCUCAACGAGUUGAAUUCUGCGAGGACGGCCAGACUCGGGACCGGGAGAGGUGUGGGGUACUCUCAGGGUAGGGGUAAAAUCCUGUCAUCCUGAGAGGACCACCUGUUGCGAAGGCUCCACACUAGAACGGAUCCGACGGUCAGGGACGAAGCCUAGGGGCACGAACCGGAUUAGAUACCCGGGUAGUCCUAGGUGUAAACGCUGUGGACUUGAUGUUGGGGACGCUCCGAGCGUUCUCAGUGUCGAAGCGAAGGUGAUAAGUCCACUGCCUGGGGAGUACGGUCGCAAGGCUGAAACUUAAAGGAAUUGGCGGGGGAGCACCGCAACCUGAGGAUUGUGCGGUUUAAUUGGAUUCAACGCCGGG
rnacentral:rRNA from 1 species